GAUGAACGCUGGCGGCGUGCCUAACACAUGCAAGUCGAACGGAGUCGUUUUGGAAAUCUCUUCGGAGAUGGAAUUCUCGACUUAGUGGCGGACGGGUGAGUAACGCGUGAGCAAUCUGCCUUUAAGAGGGGGAUAACAGUCGGAAACGGCUGCUAAUACCGCAUAAAGCAUUAAAUUCGCAUGUUUUUGAUGCCAAAGGAGCAAUCCGCUUUUAGAUGAGCUCGCGUCUGAUUAGCUAGUUGGCGGGGUAACGGCCCACCAAGGCGACGAUCAGUAGCCGGACUGAGAGGUUGCACGGCCACAUGGGGACUGAGACACGGCCCAGACUCCUACGGGAGGCAGCAGUGGGGAAUAUUGCGCAAUGGGGGAAACCCUGACGCAGCAACGCCGCGUGAUUGAAGAAGGCCUUCGGGUUGUAAAGAUCUUUAAUCAGGGACGAAACAAAUGACGGUACCUGAAGAAUAAGCUCCGGCUAACUACGUG
rnacentral:rRNA from 1 species